AUAGGAGGAUAGAUAAACUCUAAAUUAAUUUUUUAACUUCAUAUCUUCUCUGCAAUUCGAACUUGAUGGUUAGAUUAAAAAAAGAAUUACUUAAAAAAUCACUCUACCAAACAUUUGAGAAAAUAAAUGGUUCGAUGGUAUGCAUAAAAAAAGCAAAUAAAACUCCAUCACUCCUUUAAUAACAAAUAGGACAAAAGAAAGAAGAAAAAAAAAGAAAAUUAAGAAAAGGCUGCUUUUCACUUCAGUGCGAAGUAUCUUUUAAUUAUAGAUGCAAGGUUGUUUUGGACAUUUACUAAAAUUUGGAAUUUACUUAAAAGAUUUGACUUUGUAGGUGCUGCGCAUUUCAAAUGUAUUAAGUUGGACCAUCUCGUAUGCAUAUUUCAUCCUUCAUUAUAAUUACUCUCCAACGACAGUUGAGUGUGGCCAUUUAUGAGAACUCCUUCUUAACCAAUUGGCCCAUCUGGGUUUGUCAGGUCGCAUUCCUUUUAGUGAGCGGCCCACACACAAACCCUUUCAUUUUAGACCACAUAUAUUAUUACAUUUGAUCGUCACUAUGCAGUCCAUUAUAGUGGUCCACGAAACAGCACCGAGAGAGAGAGAGAGAGAGAGAGAGCAUGCCACUGCCACGUAUAAAAAAUUAAAAUUGUAUUCAUCUAGGAUUAAUUUGAAAAUAUAUAUCAACAGUUGUGGUUAAGGUACUACUAUCGGAUCCCCUGAAUAUCACACUUUAGUUAACAACAAACAUUGUAUUAAUAUUAAUGGAAAACUGAUAUAUCGCCCUUGUGGUGAAUGUUUAUUAUUUUUCUUGAUAUUGAUUAAGCAAAUUUUCUUUCUUAAUAAGAACCUAGGAUUUCUUAAAUGGUGUGUUUAUUUCACAUGUUUUAAUGUAAAUAAAGAUAUAUUAACUAAUUGAAUCUAGGGUUUUUCUUUUUUUUUCCCAAAGUAUCCUAAAUGAUCCCCAUAUUGGAAAAGGACCCAAUAAACGGUAGCUUUUGAAACAGAAGAUAGAAGAUCCGCCAGCCAGCCACUAUCAUUUCAUUUGGUUUGCUUUUUUAAUCUCUUUUUGGGAGUGGGGUGUAUGGAUGGACACUCAUCUUUACACUUAAAUCAUUUCAAUUAGAAUCUCAAAAACAUCUUUUGUGCGCUCCAAGCUACUUGCCCUCUCUCUCUCUCUCUCUCUCUCUCUCUCUUUUCCACCGCGUUCGGCCUCCUCUGCUUUCUAGCCUUAACUCCUAAGUAUUUGACUUGUAAAAAUGUUCUCCAAAAAAUACUUCUGCUUUAAACGUUAAUCAUGCCCUCAAGAAAAAAAAUUCAUUUUUCACGCUUAAAGAUGUUAAGCAAACAUUGGUUAGUUUCUUUCAAUUUUUCGGAUUGAGAGAAUAUUGUGGUAGGAAUUCGGAAUAUGUGAUGUCAAUUAGAUUGCGUAUCAUUUCUUAAUAUAUAUAUACAUAAUAUGAUAUUUAAUUUUUUUUGGCCUUUCCAAGCUAAAAACAAAAUACAUAAAUAAAAACACAUGGAUAAGUUCUUUGCUAAGUAUAUAUAGUGUGUGUAUUAA
rnacentral:lncRNA from 1 species